rnacentral:rRNA from 1 species
GGACUACACGGGUUUCUAAUCCCAUUCGCUACCCACGCUUUCGUGUAUAAGUGUCAGUAAUGAGCCAGUGAGCUGCCUUCGCUUUUGGUGUUCCCCAUGAUAUCAACGGAUUUCACCCCUACACCAUGAGUUCCACUCACCCCUCUCACACUCUGAGUCGUGCCGUUUCAUUGGCGGACCCCCGGUUAAGCCGAAGAAUUUGACCAAUGACUAACGCGACCACCUGAACACGCUUUACGCCCAGUGAUUCCGGAUAACGCUUGGGGCACUCGUAUUACCGCGGCUGCUGGCAC